UCUACACCCUUUGUGACAUACCUAUAACUGUUGCUUCGGCGGGUAGGGUCUCCGUGACCCUCCCGGCCUCCCGCCCCCGGGCGGGUCGGCGCCCGCCGGAGGAUAACCAAACUCUGAUUUAACGACGUUUCUUCUGAGUGGUACAAGCAAAUAAUCAAAACUUUUAACAACGGAUCUCUUGGUUCUGGCAUCGAUGAAGAACGCAGCGAAAUGCGAUAAGUAAUGUGAAUUGCAGAAUUCAGUGAAUCAUCGAAUCUUUGAACGCACAUUGCGCCCGCCAGCAUUCUGGCGGGCAUGCCUGUUCGAGCGUCAUUUCAACCCUCAAGCUCUGCUUGGUGUUGGGGCCCUACAGCUGAUGUAGGCCCUCAAAGGUAGUGGCGGACCCUCCCGGAGCCUCCUUUGCGUAGUAACUUUACGUCUCGCACUGGGAUCCGGAGGGACUCUUGCCGUAAAACCCCCAAUUUUCCAAAGGUUGACCUCGGAUCAGGUAGGAAUACCCGCUGAACUUAAGCAUAUCAAUAAGCGGAGGAA
rnacentral:rRNA from 1 species